rnacentral:rRNA from 1 species
UACGAAGGGUGCUAGCGUUGUUCGGAAUUACUGGGCGUAAAGCGCGCGUAGGCGGCUUUUCAAGUCAGGGGUGAAAUCCCACGGCUCAACCGUGGAAUUGCCUUUGAAACUGUGAAGCUAGAGUGUCGGAGGGGAUAGCGGAAUUGCUAAUGUAGAGGUGAAAUUCGUAGAUAUUAGCAGGAACACCGGUGGCGAAGGCGGCUAUCUGGACGACAACUGACGCUGAGGCGCGAAAGCUAGGGGAGCAAACAGG